rnacentral:rRNA from 1 species
AACGCGAAGAACCUUACCAAGGCUUGACAUCCUGUGAAAGACUUCGAAAGAAGACUGUGCCUUCGGGAACACAGUGACAGGUGGUGCAUGGCCGUCAUCAGCUCGUGUCGUGAGAUGUUUGGUUAAGUCCAUCAACGAGCGCAACCCUUGUAGUUAGUUGUUUUUCUAGCUAGACUGCCCUGGUAACAGGGAGGAAGGAGGGGAUGAUGUCAGGUCCGUAUCUCCCUUAUGUCUUGGGCUACAAACACGCUACAAUGGCCAGUACAAAGGGCAGCCAAGUCGCAAGACGGAGCAAAUCCCAUCAAAGCUGGUCUCAGUUCGGAUUGUAGGCUGAAACCCGCCUGCAUGAAGCUGGAAUCGCUAGUAACGGUAGGUCAGCAUUACUACCGUGAAUACGUUCCCGGGCCUUGUACACACCGCGAGC